rnacentral:rRNA from 1 species
UAACCUGCCCAAGAGAUCGGGAUAACACCUGGAAACAGAUGCUAAUACCGGAUAACAACAGAUGAUGCCUAUCAACUGUUUAAAAGAUGGUUCUGCUAUCACUCCUGGAUGGACCUGCGGUGCAUUAGCUAGUUGGUAGGGUAACGGCCUACCAAGGCGAUGAUGCAUAGCCGAGUUGAGAGACUGAUCGGCCACAUUGGGACUGAGACACGGCCCAAACUCCUACGGGAGGCAGCAGUA